UACAGAGGUCUCAAGCGUUGUUCGGAUUCAUUGGGCGUAAAGGGUGCGUAGGUGGCGCUGUAAGUCGGGUGUGAAAUUUCGGAGCUUAACUCCGAAACUGCAUUCGAUACUGCGGUGCUUGAGGACUGGAGAGGAGACUGGAAUUCAUGGUGUAGCAGUGAAAUGCGUAGAGAUCAUGAGGAAGACCAGUGGCGAAGGCGGGUCUCUGGACAGUUCCUGGCACUGAGGCACGAAGGCCAGGGGAGCAAACGGG
rnacentral:rRNA from 1 species